UAUCGAAUAAAGGGACUAUCCUUCGAAAAGGAAGAUAAGGUUUACUUUAUUCGACGUAAUAUUAAAAUAUAACGAUUUAACAGCAAAUUCGAUUUGAAGAAGUUUGGACUUUUUAAAAUUAGUAAAAAAAUUAACGAUAUUAAUUACAAAUUGUUAUUACUAAAUAUUAUAAAUAUUUACCCCAUAUUUUACGUAUUAUUAUUGGAACCGGCACUAUACGGUACCAAUAUAUAAAAAACGAUCGAAAUCGACGUAAAACAAACCUACGACGUUAAACGAAUAUUCGACUAUAAACGAAAUUACGGCAAAAUAAAAUAUUUUGUUAAAUGGGAAAAUUAUGGAUAUGAAAAAAACAUUUGGGAAUUUUUUAACCAUUUUGAAAAUUGUUAAAAACCGCUUUACUAAUAUUAUUAGGAGUUAAAUUUGCGAGCAAAUUAGCUAAAAAAGGACGAUUUAAAAAAGUGCCAUUUACCAUUUCUAAAAGUUAAAAAUCGACCAAAAUUCGAAAUUACACCACCAAACGAACCUACGAAAAAAACAAUUAAUAUAUACCACGAACCGGAAUAUACGAAUUAAGUAAUUUACCAAUUAAAUGCUGCGUAAAAACAUUUAUUUUAUCCAACAGAAAAGUAUUUAAAGGAUUUAUCGGGAAAGUCGAAUCCCAGACAAAAUUGGAAUCCGGAAAAAAUAACUCCAAAAACAUUUUAAAAAGGAUUUCGAUUGAUCGCCUUCGCUUUUUUUGCUUGGCUUUUUUACGUUCCACCCGAUCCAAUUUUUCCAAAUUGUUAAUAUUACGACAAACCGCUUUUAUCAGUUUUUAAACCCAUAUUUUCUUUCAAUUUUUAAAACGCAAAAGUUUUUAACGUUUAACCGCUAACUUUUGCUCCUGUUUUAAUAACCGCAAUUUUUAAACCUCGACGUCGGUAUCCAAUUUGGAAUGUUGGACGGCCAAACGGUAAAGCUGCUUCCGCGAAAUACCCAUUAUAUUAUAUCGCGAACGAUUUAAACGGACGUAUUCGACAUAACGAAAGGAAUCGCAAAGCGAUAUAACGCAUUUUACAAUCUUGCGAUUUGUAAAUAGAAUAAAAAAAUAUUUCGACCGUUAAAAAAAAAGCACAAAAAGCAAAUCGUCGCGACGAACGGUGGAAAAACGACCGCGAAAUUUGUUAAUUCGAUUAAAUAUAGCGUAAAAGAAUUAGCAAAAAAGGAACGAAACCAAAAGUAGAAAUUAGGGGAAUACAGACUAUUUAAAGGCUAAAGGGAUUUGGCCAAAAGGAAAGGAAAUUUAAUAUUACGACCAAAUAAAUUGGACCAGCACCGAAAAAGUUAAAUGGGGUUACACCCUUUUUAACGACAAUUGACUAGGGAUAGUACCGACCGGUAAAAACAGGAUUAUACAAAAAAAAGGUCACGUAACCGCACGUGACCAAGAAAAGGUGCUAUAAUUAAUAGCUGCUAAAAAUUAUAUAGCAUUUAUAGCAAAUAAUAAAAGUGAUAUAACCGUUCACCAAUAUAUCCGAUAUAACAAACAUAUUACUACUAAUAACAACGGAUUAUAUAAAGUACGUUUAUUACCAUAUAGAUAAAUUCGAUUUUAAAAUUGUUUAGCAGCAAUUAAAUUUUAGUUAACUUUAAUAUUUGUUUGAAAACGAUUAUAACUUUA
rnacentral:sRNA from 1 species